AUGCUUCCGCUUGAAGAUGAGCUUGCGUCUGAUUAGCCAGUUGGUGAGGGUAAAGGCCCACCAAGGCGACGAUCAGUAGCCGGUCUGAGAGGAUGAACGGCCACAUUGGGACUGAGACACGGCCCAGACUCCUACGGGAGGCAGCAGUGGGGAAUCUUCCGCAAUGGGCGAAAGCCUGACGGAGCAACGCCGCGUGAACGAUGAAGGUCUUAGGAUCGUAAAGUUCCGUUGUUAGGGACGAAGGAUAAGGAUUAUAAUACAGUCUUUGUUCGACGGUACCUAACGAGGAAGCCACGGCUAACUACGUGCCAGCAGCCGCGGUAAUACGUAGGCGGCAGGCGUUGUCCGGAAUUAUUGGGCGUAAAGGGAGCGCAGGCGGGAAACUAAGCGGAUCUUAAAAGUGCGGGGCUCAACCCCGUGAUGGGGUCCGAACUGGUUUUCUUGAGUGCAGGAGAGGAAAGCGGAAUUCCCAGUGUAGCGGUGAAAUGCGUAGAUAUUGGGAAGAACACCAGUGGCGAAGGCGGCUUUCUGGACUGUAACUGACGCUGAGGCUUGAAAGCUAGGGUAGCGAACGGGAUUAGAUACCCCGGUAGUCCUAGCCGUAAACGAUGGAUACUAGGUGUGGGAGGUAUCGACCCCUUCCGUGCCGGAGUUAACGCAAUAAGUAUCCCGCCUGGGGAGUACGGCCGCAAGGUUGCAACUCAAAGGAAUUGACGGA
rnacentral:rRNA from 1 species